rnacentral:rRNA from 1 species
GGUCAAGUGAAGAAGCGCAUACGGUGGAUGCCUUGGCAGUCAGAGGCGAUGAAAGACGUGGUAGCCUGCGAAAAGCUUCGGGGAGUCGGCAAACAGACUUUGAUCCGGAGAUCUCUGAAUGGGGGAACCCACCUAGGAUAACCUAGGUAUCUUGUACUGAAUCCAUAGGUGCAAGAGGCGAACCAGGGGAACUGAAACAUCUAAGUACCCUGAGGAAAAGAAAUCAACCGAGAUUCCCUUAGUAGUGGCGAGCGAACGGGGAUUAGCCCUUAAGCUUCAUUGAUUUUAGCGGAACGCUCUGGAAAGUGCGGCCAUAGUGGGUGAUAGCCCCGUACGCGAAAGGAUCUUUGAAGUGAAAUCGAGUAGGACGGAGCACGAGAAACUUUGUCUGAACAUGGGGGGCCAUCCUCCAAGGCUAAAUACUACUGACUGACCGAUAGUGAACCAGUACCGUGAGGGAAAGGCGAAAAGAACCCCGGAGAGGGGAGUGAAAUAGAACCUGAAACCGUAUGCGUACAAGCAGUGGGAGCCUACUUGUUAGGUGACUGCGUACCUUUUGUAUAAUGGGUCAGCGACUUAUAUUCAGUGGCAAGCUUAACCGUAUAGGGUAGGCGUAGCGAAAGCGAGUCUUAAUAGGGCGUUUAGUCGCUGGGUAUAGACCCGAAACCGGGCGAUCUAUCCAUGAGCAGGUUGAAGGUUAGGUAACACUGACUGGAGGACCGAACCCACUCCCGUUGAAAAGGUAGGGGAUGACUUGUGGAUCGGAGUGAAAGGCUAAUCAAGCUCGGAGAUAGCUGGUUCUCCUCGAAAGCUAUUUAGGUAGCGCCUCAUGUAUCACUCUGGGGGGUAGAGCACUGUUUCGGCUAGGGGGUCAUCCCGACUUACCAAACCGAUGCAAACUCCGAAUACCCAGAAGUGCCGAGCAUGGGAGACACACGGCGGGUGCUAACGUCCGUCGUGAAAAGGGAAACAACCCAGACCGCCAGCUAAGGUCCCAAAGUUGUGGUUAAGUGGUAAACGAUGUGGGAAGGCUUAGACAGCUAGGAGGUUGGCUUAGAAGCAGCCAUCCUUUAAAGAAAGCGUAAUAGCUCACUAGUCGAGUCGGCCUGCGCGGAAGAUGUAACGGGGCUCAAACCACACACCGAAGCUGCGGGUGUCACGUAAGUGACGCGGUAGAGGAGCGUUCUGUAAGCCUGUGAAGGUGAGUUGAGAAGCUUGCUGGAGGUAUCAGAAGUGCGAAUGCUGACAUGAGUAACGACAAUGGGUGUGAAAAACACCCACGCCGAAAGACCAAGGGUUCCUGCGCAACGUUAAUCGACGCAGGGUUAGUCGGUUCCUAAGGCGAGGCUGAAAAGCGUAGUCGAUGGGAAACAGGUUAAUAUUCCUGUACUUCUGGUUACUGCGAUGGAGGGACGGAGAAGGCUAGGCCAGCUUGGCGUUGGUUGUCCAAGUUUAAGGUGGUAGGCUGAAAUCUUAGGUAAAUCCGGGGUUUCAAGGCCGAGAGCUGAUGACGAGUCGUCUUUUAGAUGACGAAGUGGUUGAUGCCAUGCUUCCAAGAAAAGCUUCUAAGCUUCAGGUAACCAGGAACCGUACCCCAAACCGACACAGGUGGUCGGGUAGAGAAUACCAAGGCGCUUGAGAGAACUCGGGUGAAGGAACUAGGCAAAAUGGCACCGUAACUUCGGGAGAAGGUGCGCCGGCUAGGGUGAAGGAUUUACUCCGUAAGCUCUGGCUGGUCGAAGAUACCAGGCCGCUGCGACUGUUUAUUAAAAACACAGCACUCUGCAAACACGAAAGUGGACGUAUAGGGUGUGACGCCUGCCCGGUGCCGGAAGGUUAAUUGAUGGGGUUAGCGCAAGCGAAGCUCUUGAUCGAAGCCCCGGUAAACGGCGGCCGUAACUAUAACGGUCCUAAGGUAGCGAAAUUCCUUGUCGGGUAAGUUCCGACCUGCACGAAUGGCGUAACGAUGGCGGCGCUGUCUCCACCCGAGACUCAGUGAAAUUGAAAUCGCUGUGAAGAUGCAGUGUAUCCGCGGCUAGACGGAAAGACCCCGUGAACCUUUACUGUAGCUUUGCACUGGACUUUGAGCCUGCUUGUGUAGGAUAGGUGGGAGGCUUUGAAGCGUGGACGCCAGUUCGCGUGGAGCCAUCCUUGAAAUACCACCCUGGCAUGCUUGAGGUUCUAACUCUGGUCCGUAAUCCGGAUCGAGGACAGUGUAUGGUGGGCAGUUUGACUGGGGCGGUCUCCUCCUAAAGAGUAACGGAGGAGUACGAAGGUGCGCUCAGACCGGUCGGAAAUCGGUCGCAGAGUAUAAAGGCAAAAGCGCGCUUGACUGCGAGACAGACACGUCGAGCAGGUACGAAAGUAGGUCUUAGUGAUCCGGUGGUUCUGUAUGGAAGGGCCAUCGCUCAACGGAUAAAAGGUACUCCGGGGAUAACAGGCUGAUACCGCCCAAGAGUUCAUAUCGACGGCGGUGUUUGGCACCUCGAUGUCGGCUCAUCACAUCCUGGGGCUGAAGCCGGUCCCAAGGGUAUGGCUGUUCGCCAUUUAAAGUGGUACGCGAGCUGGGUUUAGAACGUCGUGAGACAGUUCGGUCCCUAUCUGCCGUGGACGUUUGAGAUUUGAGAGGGGCUGCUCCUAGUACGAGAGGACCGGAGUGGACGAACCUCUGGUGUUCCGGUUGUCACGCCAGUGGCAUUGCCGGGUAGCUAUGUUCGGAAAAGAUAACCGCUGAAAGCAUCUAAGCGGGAAACUUGCCUCAAGAUGAGAUCUCACUGGGAACUUGAUUCCCCUGAAGGGCCGUCGAAGACUACGACGUUGAUAGGCUGGGUGUGUAAGCGUUGUGAGGCGUUGAGCUAACCAGUACUAAUUGCCCGUGAGGCUUGACCAU